GACGAACGCUGGCGGCGUGCUUAACACAUGCAAGUCGAACGAAGUGGCGAACGGGUGAGUAACGCGUAAUCAACCUGCCCUUCAGAGGGGGACAACAGUUGGAAACGACUGCUAAUACCGCAUACUGAAGGAGGGGAUUGCGUCUGAUUAGCUAGUUGGAGGGGUAACGGCCCACCAAGGCGAUGAUCAGUAGCCGGUCUGAGAGGAUGAACGGCCACAUUGGGACUGAGACACGGCCCAGACUCCUACGGGAGGCAGCAGUGGGGAAUUUUGGACAAUGGGGGAAACCCUGAUCCAGCCAUCCCGCGUGUGCGAUGAAGGCCUUCGGGUUGUAAAGCACUUUUGGCAGGAAAGCGGUACCUGCAGAAUAAGCACCGGCUAACUACGUGCCAGCAGCCGCGGUAAUAC
rnacentral:rRNA from 1 species